GGGCAGGCGUGCGAGGGAGCACUCUCUGUGCGUUUCCUCUUCAGCUCCCUUGCGCGCCGCGUAAUGAUGCCGGAGCCGGAAGAUGACACCAUCUUCCGGCUCCGGCAUCAGUACGGUGCGCGAGGGAGCUGAAGAGGAAGCACGCAGAGAGUGCUCCCUCGUGCGCCCGC
rnacentral:miRNA from 1 species